AACACCUUGGCUACACCACAGACUCUGCCAUGUUGUUCUUACCACAGCCACAAAACCAGAGCCACGGGGACUCGUGGUGCCCUCCUGGAAACCCAACACCUUGGGAGGCUGAUGCAGGAGGAUCGCUGCGAGUUUGAGACCAGUCUGAAUUACCUACAGGUCCAGUUUGCUGUGGUUCAGAGUCCUGGUGAGCAGUAGCUGGGCCGGAAAAGCUACAGAGCCCCGGGACUGAAGGGAAGGCCAUGGCCCACGGCCCCUGUGUCCAGUCACAAAUGGCAGCCUGCACCAAGGCACAGAAGUGGUCAUAGCCCGAUGCCCUGAUCCAAAGUCCUCCCAGGCUGAAGAUUCAGCAGUCCCCAAAGCUGGAUACUGCGCGCUCCAUUGGAACGUGGAUGCAGAGGGAGGGGGCGCUCACUCUGCGACGUCCAUCGGCCUCGUCCUCCACGCCUGCUGCAUUUUGUGCUUGUAGUUCUCCGGGGAGGAAAUCUCCUCUCCACGGGAAGACACUGAGGAAGGGAACAGCAAUUUGGAGCGGUCUACUUGCAGAGUUGGCAAGAGUCAGAACCAACUUCCCACCCAAGCCACCCCGUCCGGAAUCCUCUCCUGGCUCUGUCCCUGGGAGUGUAACGGGCAUGAAGUGAGGAAACCUAUAGCAACCCGUGUGAAGGGCACAGAGCCAGAAUGAUCCAGCCCUGAGGUCGGCUCUGUGGGGCCCUCACUCUGGCCCGAGUCUGGCCCUGCACCACCCUUGUCCUCGCACGGAUCCUGAUGGUGGCACGAGGCCUACUUUGCAAGGACAGAGCUCCCUGUGCUGGUGCCGAAGAUUAACAAGGCCUGAAGUGCAGAGUCCCCGAAUCACUGCCAGGCGCGGGGACAGAACGCUCAUCACCUCUGCCCCUCGGGCCGGGCCGGGGGAACUCGCUUAAAAAAAAAACUCCUAAAGGUGUUAAAGACACCACGGGCUGUCACUCAGGUGCUGGGCCUGCGCUUCUCUGGGAACGGCCAGGACGCCGCAGCAGGAGAGAGCUGUGGACAUCGGCCUCACGCCCAGUAAUGGUUUGCUUUCUGACUCAGCCCAGCGGGGCAGACCGGAGGAGACAGCCCAGAUCACCAUCCUGAGGACGCCCGUGCAGCUCCCAUCCCCAGGCCGCACUCCACACCUUUGCGUGUCUACUGUACUUUAAAUUUCUGCCUACUAAAUCCUUUG